AGACUUUUGCACAAGAGAAAUCACUGGGUGUUCAUGCUGUAUGCAUGAGAUAUGCCUCCCUCCACCCUUGUAAGGACAUCAGCACAUUACCCUUCUGAUC
rfam:Fukomys damarensis contig129524, whole genome shotgun sequence.